UACGAAGGGGGCUAGCGUUGUUCGGAAUUACUGGGCGUAAAGCGUGCGCAGGCGGUUUUCCAAGUCAGUGGUGAAAGCCCGGAGCUCAACUCCGGAAUUGCCAUUGAAACUGUGAAACUUGAGGACGAGAGAGGUGAGUGGAAUUCCCAGUGUAGAGGUGAAAUUCGUAGAUAUUGGGAAGAACACCGGUGGCGAAGGCGGCUCACUGGCUCGUUUCUGACGCUCAGGCACGACAGCGUGGGGAUCAAACAGG
rnacentral:rRNA from 1 species